UACGUAGGGGGCAAGCGUUAUCCGGAUUUACUGGGUGUAAAGGGAGCGUAGACGGCGCUGCAAGUCCGGAGUGAAAGCCCAUGGCUUAACCAUGGUACUGCUCUGGAAACUGUGGAGCUUGAGUGCGGGAGGGGCAGGCGGAAUUCCUAGUGUAGCGGUGAAAUGCGUAGAUAUUAGGAGGAACACCAGUGGCGAAGGCGGCCUGCUGGGCUUUAACUGACGCUGAGGCUCGAAAGCGUGGGGAGCAAACAGG
rnacentral:rRNA from 1 species